rnacentral:lncRNA from 1 species
UGGGAAAGUAGAUGGCGCAAUAGCAGACUCAUGACUCUGCUCCCUAUCUCCUCUGUGGAUGGCAUCAACAUCAUCAAGAAGUUGAACAGCCUGAAAUGGUAAUCCCUCUGAAACAUAAGAUUGUUCCUCAGUGAGUUGAGUGGCCAUCUGCCCCAUCUGAUCAGUCAAACUCUGAAAAGAAGCUCUGGUCUCCUGCUUAAACUCCAUGUUCA